rnacentral:ncRNA from 1 species
CACCGUUCUCAGGGCGGGGCGAAACUCCCCACCGGCGGUAUGCAGAUCCGAUCUGCGAGCCCGCGAGCGCAACGGGGUUCGUACUGGAAAUCCGUUGGUCAGCAGAUCUGGUGAGACGCCAGAGCCGACGGUUACAGUCCGGAUGAAAGAGGACGAGC